rnacentral:rRNA from 1 species
UGCUGCAGGUCGACGAUCACGGACCAGAGUUUGACCUGGCUCAGGAUGAACGCUGGCGGCGUGCCUAACACAUGCAAGUCGAGCGCGGUUAUUAUUCAACAUUGAGUAUUCUAUAAAAUAUAGUUAUAAUCGACAGCGAUUUCACUUUCUACCUUAAAAACUUAAAGAAGGGAAAGUGAAACACGCAUUAUUAAGUAACUAACUAACUAAAAACAUAGAGUAUUGAAUGUUGAAUAAUAACUGAGCGGCGGACGGGUGAGUAACGCGUGGGUAACCUGCCCUGUACAUAUGGAUAACAUGCUGAAAAGCAUACUAAUACAUAAUAACGUACAUUGAAGGCAUCUUCGAUGUAUCAAAGCGUUAGCGGUACAGGAUGGACCCGCGUCUGAUUAGCUAGUUGGUGGGGUAAAAGCCUACCAAGGCGACGAUCAGUAGCCGACCUGAGAGGGUGAUCGGCCACAUUGGAACUGAGACACGGUCCAAACUCCUACGGGAGGCAGCAGUGGGGGAUAUUGCACAAUGGGCGAAAGCUGAUGCAGCAACGCCGCGUGAACGAUGAAGGUCUUCGGAUCGUAAAGUUCUGUUGCAGGGGAAGAUAAUGACGGUACCCUGUGAGGAAGCACCGGCUAACUACGUGCCAGCAGCCGCGGUAAUACGUAGGGUGCUAGCGUUAUCCGGAUUUACUGGGCGUAAAGGGUGCGUAGGUGGUAUUUCAAGUCGGUGGUUAAAGGCUACGGCUCAACCGUAUUAAGCCGCCGAAACUGGAAGACUUGAGUGCAGGAGAGGAAAGUGGAAUUCUCAGUGUAGCGGUGAAAUGCGUAGAUAUUGGGAAGAACACCAGUAGCGAAGGCGGCUUUCUGGACUGCAACUGACACUGAGGCACGAAAGCGUGGGUAGCAAACAGGAUUAGAUACCCUGGUAGUCCACGCCGUAAACGAUGAGUACUAGGUGUCGGGGGUUACCCCCCUCGGUGCCGUAGUUAACGCAUUAAGUACUCCGCCUGGGGAGUACGCACGCAAGUGUGAAACUCAAAGGAAUUGACGGGGACCCGCACAAGUAGCGGAGCAUGUGGUUUAAUUCGAAGCAACGCGAAGAACCUUACCUAAGCUUGACAUCCCUCGGACCGGUAGUUAAUCCUACCUUCCUUCGGGGCUGAGGUGACAGGUGGUGCAUGGUUGUCGUCAGCUCGUGUCGUGAGAUGUUGGGUUAAGUCCCGCAACGAGCACAACCCUUGUCUUUAGUUGCCAGCAUUUAGUUGGGCACUCUAGAGAGACUGCCAGGGAUAACCUGGAGGAAGGUGGGGAUGACGUCAAAUCAUCAUGCCCCUUAUGCUUAGGGCUACACACGUGCUACAAUGGGUGGUACAGAGGGUUGCCAAACCGUGAGGUGGAGCUAAUCCCUUAAAGCCAUUCUCAGUUCGGAUUGUAGGCUGAAACUCGCCUACAUGAAGCUGGAGUUACUAGUAAUCGCAGAUCAGAAUGCUGCGGUGAGUGCGUUCCCGGGCCUUGUACACACCGCCCGUCACACCAUGGGAGUCGGAAACACCCGAAGCCGAUUAUCUAACCAUAAGGAAGAAGUCGUCGAAGGUGGCAUCGAUAACUGGGGUGAAGUCGUAACAAGGUAGCCGUAAGCUUCACAAU